GACGAACGCUGGCGGCGUGCCUAACACAUGCAAGUCGAACGGCAGCGGACCUUCGGGUGCCGGCGAGUGGCGAACGGGUGAGUAACGCGUGGAUAACCUGCCCAGAGGUGGGGGAUAACCCGGGGAAACUCGGGCUAAUACCGCAUGAUACCGAGAGGUCAAAGGGGGCUCGCAAGGGCUCUCGCCAUUGGAGGGGUCCGCGUCCGAUUAGCUAGUUGGUAGGGUAACGGCCUACCAAGGCGACGAUCGGUAGCCGGCCUGAGAGGGUGAUCGGCCACACUGGAACUGAGACACGGUCCAGACUCCUACGGGAGGCAGCAGUGGGGAAUUUUGCGCAAUGGGCUAACGCCUGACGCAGCAACGCCGCGUGGAGGAUGAAGGUCUUUGGAUUGUAAACUCCUGUCGACCGGGAAAAAGCGAUUCGGCCUAAUACGCCGGAGAGUUGAUUGUACCGGUGGAGGAAGCCCCGGCUAACUCUGUGCCAGCAGCCGCCGUAAGAC
rnacentral:rRNA from 1 species